CUCUAUUAGUAAAGGUUAGAAUCUCACCGUCAGGUGGGAACAGCUGGAGCUGCAGCUACGGAGUCAGUAAACAGACUCAUCUUGUUGUGGUCUAUCAGCUAAUAAUUUGAACAGCUUAUUUGUGGCUUCAGCUGAUUAUUUUUUUCUUUUCCAGUGAAAUCUCAUUAUCAAAGACCACAGGCCAAACAGACUGAUGAGCUGUUGGAGAUGAGAAACAUCAGUCAUGGAGGACAGGUCCCCAUAGGUUGUAAUGAAGGCUACAGUGAGAUCACAUCAGCACCUGGUGUUGCCUCCAACACUGCAAAGUCAAAGCGACUGAACAAUGAG